rnacentral:rRNA from 1 species
UACGGGAGGCAGCAGUGGGGAAUAUUGCGCAAUGGACGGAAGUCUGACGCAGCAACGCCGCGUGAGGGAUGACGGCCUUCGGGUUGUAAACCUCUUUCGCCAGGGACGAAGCGCAAGUGACGGUACCUGGAUAAGAAGCACCGGCUAACUACGUGCCAGCAGCCGCGGUAAU